GGAGCUGUGGCGCAAUUGGUUAACGCAGCAGAUUGCUAAUCUGUACGUCAUUAAUUUGGCGUGAGGGUUCGAAUCCCUCCAGCUCCU
rnacentral:tRNA from 1 species